AUGCCUUUGCAGGGACUUUGCUGGCUUGUGUGCUGCAGACAAGGCUUCAGUUUGCUGGCUCGGGAUCAUGGGGAGAAAGAGGAGGAAGAGUCUUUUGAGUUACGCAAUCAGGACGAGCACACACACACGGGACGGGGGCAACUAGAGGUCACUCUGUCUCAGCCCACUCGCACAGCCAACGGCACACCCUGUCUGUCAGGAGUUCCUGAGGAGAAGAGAAGUCUCAUCACACUGAAGAGCAAGAUGACGAUGGAUGAAGACCCUGAGGUGCUUGUGAAGGGUGAGGAAGAAAUUCUUCUGCUUGAUAACUCUGAUUCACCAGAUCAAGUCAUAUUUGUCAUUAUGGCUGUAAAACUAAACUGCUUCUUUGCAUGCAUUGGUGCAGUUGUGUGAAUUAUGCCCCCCUUUUUUAUUGUGCUGGUUACUUGGAAUCCUUAAUGUGAAGUAAAUUAGAUUGAUGCUUGUUUCAGUUUUACAGCAUGUAGAUUACAAUUUCAAAGGUUGAAUUGUGUUUUAAACUUUAUGACACUCUGGUAGCUUUAUCUGUAGUGAGUUCAUCUUAAAUCUGAACCAGGGUGCAGCAGGCUGAACAAUGUCUACACACACACACAUAGCCAUCUAAAUGAAGACAUACUAUAUAUUUCUACUGUCUUUACAUAAAGAUAAUUAUAAUUAGUAUAAACUAACCCAAAUGGACUAACGUAAUAAAUUAAGCAAUAUUGUUUAGAUAUUAAUAUUC
ensembl:lncRNA